UCAUGGCCAACCUCUUGUUCACCAGUGAUGUUUGGAGGUGACAUCCAGGAUUUUAAUUAACUGUUCCUAUUUUGAUCAGAAAUACAAAAAAGUAAUGCCACUAGCAUGCAGAUACCACAUGUCAGUUAAUCAGUGAGGGGCAGUUUCAAAAUGUGUUGAAAGGGAUAACACAUCUGCCUAAUUCAAUAGGUUCUUAGUCAUCUCUUACACUUCCCAUCACCUUUCUUUCCAUGCAUAAGCAUUCAUUUUUGUUUGUAUGCUAACUUCUUAACCCACUGAAUACAUUUAUUUUUCUACCCAUUAACAGUGCAUACUUACUGGCUUUUUGUGUGCCUUGGGCUUUGUUAAAAACAUAAAAUGAUACACUGUCUUUGGAAAGGGUCCUCUACUGAUGUUCAUUACAAAAUUCACAUACACAUCACCUCUCUAUCCACAUCAUCUUAUUUUCCUGAAAGUAAUAUAAUUACAUUUAUAUGCCAUCUAUUUCAUCUGUGUUUCGUGCUAGUUAAAUCAGUUUCUUGUGCAUUUGUUUCAUGCAUUCACCACAAAUUGAUAUGUAGAACCUAUGCAUAUAUUCAUCUCGUCAAGUAUUCAUGUUCUGGGUUCCUGCGUUCAUUAUUGACAGAAAUUAUUCAUCCUAACGAAUCCAUGGGAACACCAGAAAGAGCACAUAACACAAAAAUAACCUAAAUUAUAAAAAAUGUGCUAGGAAAUAUAUAUGUGUGUAUACGUAUGUUUAAAAGUAACACAGAUUAAAAAGAAGCAAAACUAAAAAAAAAAAAAGUAUCUGCAUAUGUUGGCUGGAUGUGUGGAUUUGCAGAGUCCUUUUACCUCCUCUGUAGUCUGAUCAGAAGAACCCAAGUGCCAGGUGUACAAUUCUUUCAGAAAAAAUAAAUAAAAAACACUUUGCAUAGCCAUUAUGUUGUGGUAGGGGCAUCUUAAUUACAGACAGGGAUAUCCAUAACCAUGAACCCAUGAACCCCAUUUAGCUCACCAAGUGAAUUUAGUGAUAAAAAAAAUUAAUGCUAGGAAGUGUAUGACUGAUAAAGAACCUCUUAGGAGUGUUCUUUGGGAAUGAUGGCUGUAGGCUGUCUCUUUUUUUUUUUUUUUUUUGUAAGAAGGGCUGAGUGUUCAGUUUCAGCAGCUCCUCAACACAUCAACAAGCAGCUAAAAAGAGUCAGCAUUUUCUGCUGAACUGGCUGCCAUGACAGCACUGGUACUGGGGACACACUGUCUUGCAGUGGAGCACUGAUGUGUGCAUGAAAAUAGGAGAGGACAUGCUAUGAUCACCCUCAUGAGGCUGGUUUGCUUUGUGGCAAUGUGCAGCACCUGCAGGAUGUGUGGAAGGUAUUGUUUUUUAUAUUUUUGCAAGCUCAAGUGCAGGAAGAUAUCAUUAGAACAAGAAGACCUAGUCUCUGCAGUAAGACUGUACUCUCAGUUGAUUCACAAACAUUUGGAGGGAGGGUUACCUAUGCACACAAUGCUCUAUAAAAUGGGAAUUUGACAUUUGAGUGGAUUGGUCAUGUAUUGCUGAUUGCCUCUUUUUACUGCUUUGAUCCCAGGAUCUCAAAGUACUUUAUAAAUAUU
ensembl:lncRNA